UUGUUCUGCUGCAAACUUUAAACAAUAGGAAAUGUCGCUUUUUUGUUUUUCAUAAUGCAGAGCACCAUCUGGAUUAGCAUGAAAUGCAUCUGAAAAAUUGCAUGGAGCCGGACAUAAUUCCCAAUAAGAACAGAUACAUCAAAUUGAAGCAGGAAAUGACGGCAUCGAUGGAGAACCUGAGGCAAGCUCCUACUCCUUUUUACCUUCCUCCUAAUUCUCUUGCCUGCUUUAUUUCCUACUCCAGAGAAACCAAAAAGUCUUUAUCUCUUUCCUCUAUUUCUAAAAGGGAUUUUCUGCACAAAAGUGCACAUUUUGUUUUGGAUCUCAACCUCUCUGUUAUUUAAAGGUGGAUUCUCCUAUUUCUCAGGCUGUGCUCUAGAAAAAUUAAUUGAACUGUUACACUCAUAGUCAUUUUUAAUUUCAAGAGUUAAGUGCUCCUUUCUGACCUGAUAGGUUGCUCAGCCCAACCCGAAGGCAAGGAUUGUUAUUGACAAGUCUGUGUGCUUACAGUCUCCRGAAGAGUUGGGAGUGGCAAAACAGGUUUAGUUUUGAAAGAACAAGUCACAUCCUUUUGGCAGGACAAGGUAAGGCUAUCAGCACAUUCCUCAUCUUU
rnacentral:lncRNA from 1 species